rnacentral:misc_RNA from 1 species
ACUCUUCAACUCCCCAAUUUCUUGUAGAUUGUGUGGAUGUUUGGAUUUUGAAUGUUGCUGGCUCUUCGGAGCGAAGCUCGUUCGUAAUACAUUAGCAUUUCUAAUUCGAACUCGGAUUGACUCAGUGUAAUAGACUAUUCGCUGAGGACACUAGUUUCUACUAGUGGCCGUGUUCAAUACAAGAGAAGCUUCUAAUCCCUCUAGUCAUUUUUGA